GCCCUUGUGGAUCAUGGCGAUCAUCUCGUUGUAAUAGGCAUUUCCGAACGAUUUCAGACUUUACUGAGAAGAAGGAGGUUCGAUUCCUCCCGAGGGCU